UUUCUCUCUCUCAGUUUCUCUUUAAUCCUUUUUUUUUUUUUGGGUUAUUUUGUGUUUUUUUUUCAGCGUUUUAUAAGAAUCCUUCAAGAUCUCUCAUUCAUCAUUUGCUGUUUGAGAAUCUUCUUGGAUCAUUCUCUCUAAAGAUCAUUCUUUCUUUAGGGAUUUUUCAGAAAGUUUCGUUUUUUUCUUUUUCUUUCCUCUCUUCUCCGAUCCGCCGCCGUGGGUUUUUGGUGGUUACGAUGACGAUCAAAGAUGAGUCGGAGAGUUGCGGUAGCAGAGCCGUCGUUGCUUCGGCGUCUCAAGAAAACCCUAGACAUUACCGGAUGAAACUCGAUGUCUACAGUGAGGUUUUACAGCGACUUCAAGAAUCUAAUUACGAAGAAGCAACUCUUCCUGAUUUCGAGGAUCAGCUCUGGCUCCAUUUCAAUCGUCUUCCUGCUCGGUAUGCUCUUGAUGUUAAAGUUGAGAGAGCGGAAGAUGUUCUUACACAUCAGAGAUUGCUAAAAUUGGCGGAAGAUCCUGCGACUAGGCCUGUGUUUGAAGUUCGUAGUGUACAGGUUCCUCCAAGAACUUCUCCUGACUCUGACCCUGCUGUGGAGGAAGAUGCCCAAAGCUCUCACCAACCAAGUGGGCAAGGGAUUCUUGCUCCUCCGACUUUUGGUUCUUCUCCAAAUUUUGAGGCUAUUACUCAGGGAAAUAAAAUUGUUGAAGAUGUCGAUAGUGCUGUAAAUGUAACAUUGUCUACUCGACCGAUGCACGAGAUCACAUUUUCAACCAUUGAUAAGCCCAAACUCCUUAGCCAGCUAACUUCCCUACUUGGUGAGCUUGGACUGAAUAUACAAGAGGCUCAUGCUUUUUCCACGGUGGAUGGUUUCUCUCUAGAUGUCUUUGUAGUAGAUGGUUGGUCUCAGGAGGAAACAGAUGGUCUAAAGGAUGCAUUGAGCAAAGAGAUACUGAAGCUUAAGGAUCAACCUGGUUCAAAAUAUAAAUCUAUUGCUUUCUUUGAGCAUGACAAAUCAAGCAAUGAGCUUAUACCCGCCUGCAUUGAAAUACCCACGGAUGGAACGGAUGAGUGGGAAAUUGACGUAGCACAGCUCAAAAUUGAAAAGAAAGUUGCAUCUGGUUCAUAUGGGGAUCUGCAUAGAGGCAUUUAUUGCAGUCAGGAAGUAGCUAUCAAAUUUCUCAAGCCUGAGCGUGUAAACACUGAUAUGCUUAGAGAAUUUUCUCAAGAAGUUUUUAUAAUGAGGAAAGUUAGACACAAAAACGUCGUUCAAUUUUUGGGUGCAUGCACAAGAUCUCCAACUCUCUGUAUAGUGACUGAGUUUAUGGCUCGAGGGAGCAUAUAUGAUUUUCUUCACAAACAGAAAUGCGCUUUUAAACUUCAGACUUUGCUUAAAGUUGCACUUGAUGUGGCAAAAGGAAUGAGCUAUUUGCAUCAAAACAACAUUAUUCACAGGGACCUUAAGACUGCGAAUCUUCUUAUGGAUGAACAUGGACUUGUCAAGGUUGCUGAUUUCGGAGUUGCCAGAGUGCAGAUUGAAUCAGGGGUCAUGACAGCUGAAACAGGGACUUACCGGUGGAUGGCUCCAGAGGUCAUUGAGCACAAACCUUACAACCAUAAGGCAGAUGUGUUCAGCUAUGCGAUAGUGCUAUGGGAACUUUUGACUGGUGACAUCCCGUAUGCUUUCUUGACUCCGCUACAAGCAGCUGUUGGCGUUGUCCAAAAGGGGCUUCGACCAAAAAUUCCAAAGAAAACACACCCAAAAGUGAAGGGACUUCUAGAGAGAUGUUGGCACCAAGACCCAGAACAGAGACCACUCUUCGAGGAAAUCAUAGAAAUGCUGCAACAGAUAAUGAAUGAGGUAAACGCCGUAGUGUGAUCCCAGAGUAAAAACCCUACCCUUACAAGGAGAGAUUCUCAGAGCAGGAUGUGUGGAUGUGGUGGAAACAAAGCAGGUUGGAGAUGAAGACCCUAGCAAGGACAACCAGUGCAUGUCUUUCCUGACUACUCCCUUUAGAAAGCCCCGUUACUAGUUCUGAUACUAAAAAAAUCAGUUUCACGAUUGAAGGCACUAUUUUGUUGGCCUUUGUACAGUUUCUUUUUUUCAUUGGGGAGGAUCUAGUUUUUGACCUUUAGAGAGCGUUUUCUCCUUUUUUAGUUGCUCCCUGAUUCAUUUUCACAUAGAAGAAAUUAGAAACCCUUUUCUUCUGUCACUUCUUUUUUUCUUUUUCCUUUCAUAAAGAAAGCAAGUUUAAUAGA